CAAUAGCGUAUAUUAAAGUUGUUGCGGUUAAAAAGCUCGUAGUUGGAUUUCUGCUGAGAACGACCGGUCCGCCCUUUGGGUGUGUAUCUGGCUCUUUCUUGGCAUCUUCUUGGUGAACGUUGCUGCACUUGACUGUGUGGAGCGCUACCCAGGACUUUUACUUUGAGGAAAUUAGAGUGUUUCAAGCAGGCAUACGCCUUGAAUACAUUAGCAUGGAAUAAUAAGAUAGGACCUCGGUUCUAUUUUGUUGGUUUCUAGAGCUGAGGUAAUGAUUAAUAGGGAUAGUUGGGGGCAUUCGUAUUUAACUGUCAGAGGUGGAAUUCUUGGAUUUGUUAAAGACGGACUACUGCGAAAGCAUUUGCCAAGGAUGUUUUCAUUG
rnacentral:rRNA from 1 species